rnacentral:rRNA from 1 species
AACGAACGCUGGCGGCGUGGAUAAGACAUGCAAGUCGAACGGGGCAAUUUUGGUAGCAAUAUCAAAGUUGUCCAGUGGCGCAAGGGUGCGUAACACGUCGGCAAUCUGCCGAGAAGUGGGGGAUAGCUCGCCGAAAGGCGAAUCAAUACCGAAUACGGUUAACAGGGGAUUCGUUGUGACACCAAAGACGGGUCACACUGGCGCUUCUUGAUGAGCCCGCGGCCUAUCAGCUAGUUGGCGGGGUAACAGCCCACCAAGGCUAUGACGGGUAGCUGGUCUGAGAGGACGACCAGCCACACUGGAACUGAGACACGGUCCAGACACCUACGGGUGGCAGCAGUCGAGAAUUUUUCUCAAUGGGCGAAAGCCUGAAGGAGCGACGCCGCGUGGAGGAUGAAGGUCUUCGGAUUGUAAACUCCUGUCAUUGGGGAACAAAGCUUCCGGUUAACUGCCGGCAAGUCUGAUAGUACCCGAAGAGGAAGAGACGGCUAACUCUGUGCCAGCCGCCGCGGUAAAAC